AUUGAACGCUGGCGGCAUGCCUUACACAUGCAAGUCGAACGGUAACGCGGGGCAACCUGGCGACGAGUGGCGAACGGGUGAGUAAAGCAUCGGAACGUGCCCAGUAGUGGGGGAUAGCCCGGCGAAAGCCGGAUUAAUACCGCAUACGACCUAUGGGUGAAAGGGGGGGAUCGCAAGACCUCUCGCUAUUGGAGCGGCCGAUGUCAGAUUAGGUAGGUGGUGGGGUAAAGGCCUACCAAGCCGACGAGCUGUAGCUGGUCUGAGAGGACGACCAGCCACACUGGGACUGAGGCACGGCCCAGACUCCUCCGGGAGGCAGCAGUGGGGAAUUUUGGACAGUGGGCGCAAGCCUGAUCCAGCCAUGCCGCGUGCGGGAAGAAGGCCUUCGGGUUGUAAACCGCUUUUGUCAGGGAAGAAAUCCUUUGGGUUAAUACCUCGGGGGGAUGACGGUACCUGAAGAAUAAGCACCGGCUAACUACGUGCCAGCCGCCGCCGUAA
rnacentral:rRNA from 1 species